GGGAAUGUAGCUUAGUGGUAGAGUGCUUGCCUAGCAUGCAUGAAGCCCUGGGUUCAAUUCCUAUACCA
rnacentral:tRNA from 1 species